rnacentral:rRNA from 1 species
GCGCAGGAAAAGAAACCAACAGGGAUUGCCCUAGUAACGGCGAGUGAAGCGGCAACAGCUCAAAUUUGAAAUCUGGCGCAAGCCCGAGUUGUAAUUUGUAGAGGAUGCUUCUGGGUAGCGGCCGGUCUAAGUUCCUUGGAACAGGACGUCACAGAGGGUGAGGAUCCCGUAUGUGAUCGGCGCGCGCCCUCUACGUAGCUCCUUCGACGAGUCGAGUUGUUUGGGAAUGCAGCUCUAAAUGGGAGGUAAAUUUCUUCUAAAGCUAAAUACUGGCCAGAGACCGAUAGCGCACAAGUAGAGUGAUCGAAAGAUGAAAAGCACUUUGGAAAGAGAGUUAAAAAGCACGUGAAAUUGUUGAAAGGGAAGCGCUUGCAACCAGACUUGCGGGUGGUGUUCCGCCGGGCUUCUGCCCGGUCUACUCGCCGCUCGCAGGCCAUCAUCGUCUGGGGCCGCCGGAGAAACCGUCAGGAAUGUGGCUCCCUCGGGAGUGUUAUAGCCUGUCGACAUGCGGCGCGCCCCGGGCGAGGUCCGCGCACUGCAAGGAUGAUGGCGUAAUGGUUGUCAGCGGCCCGUCUUGAAACACGGACCAAGGAGUCUAACAUCUAUGCGAGUGUUCGGGUGUCAAACCCCUACGCGUAAUGAAAGUGAACGGAGGUGGGAGCUUCGGCGCACCAUCGACCGAUCCUGAUGUUCUCGGAUGGAUUUGA